GAACCCGCAACCUCACGGUUCCUAGUUGGAUUCGCCAAGCACUGUGCCACCACGGGAACUCCUCACACAUUUUUUUACAUCAUCACAUUCAUCUGUAUUCUUUUCCCUCUCCUCCACUACCCAGCUACAGAUAUUAGCUCUAAUGUAUUUAAUGUGUCCUCAACUAAGUUUGAUGUUUGAGAAGUAUAUCAUGUAUUUGUUUUGUGUGUUUUAUUUAUUGAUAUUUAUUUAUUCCAAAGUGUUGAUCUUGUUUUAGUAUCUGGCUGGAAAACUAGACACCCGACCAGUCAGGAGCGGUGGGCUUAAUCCUCGUCAUCGCGGCUCCAGCCCCACCCUGGCCCUUCUUGGCCUUCUUCCUCUUCACGCGGCCUGGGCGGCCACCCCCCGCCCAGAGAGCAGAGGGAGAGGUGCUGCUGGGAGUCCAGGCGGACAAUGAAGGACGGGAUGUUCACCACCUGCUUGCUUGCGGACCGUGGGGAGGGGGGAGCAGGUGAAGGGAACGGGAACAGGACGCGCUCUCUGCCCCGGCUCUGCAGGUGCCAGGGCUGGUGCUACAGCUGCACUGCCUCUGAAGCAAUAAACAGGAAGUGCCCAUCCCAAGGACCGCUGUGUGUUCUGGAGAGCUCCUGGGCAUCAUCUAGUUCACAAGGGCGAAUGCCCCCAAGAGUGAGAUUGCGCCAGCCGGGGUAUAACGUGUUUUCCCGAUGUUCUGCCCAGCUGCUCCAAAGCAGCCGUACGAGUUGCACUUCCAGUGGCGGUGCAUGAAGGCUCCUGUCAGCCCACCACUCACUGACACCCGAUGUUACUAGGCUUUCUAAUUUGUCCUAAUCAGGCUUCUAACCAACCAGCCAAGUCAUUCGCCUUGCCAGUGUGUGAGUAUAUAAACUUACCUCAGGCUGCCUCUCCUUAUACACAAAGUGGAUGAGCACAGGUACAGCUGGAACUCUGACCACUGCGAGGAUUCCUCUUUCCCCCCGGGUACCCCUUAGGUAUAGAGUUAGAAUACAGCGACAAUCCAUUUUUAAUUGUGUUGCAUCUUUCUGACCAUUUUCCCAUAGACACAUUUCCCUCUGGCCCACUUCUUGUGGCGGGAGCUCUCUGGCUGCCUCCCCACAUAAGCCUUUCCUUAGCACAUGUGCACAAAGAGCAUGACAGCUCUGGUCUUGCCUCCUCUUCUUGUCUUUUUUUUUUUUUUUUUUUU